rnacentral:rRNA from 1 species
GAUGAACGCUGGCGGCGUGCCUAAUACAUGCAAGUCGAGCGAACAGACGAGGAGCUUGCUCCUCUGACGUUAGCGGCGGACGGGUGAGUAACACGUGGAUAACCUACCUAUAAGACUGGGAUAACAUCGGGAAACCGGAGCUAAUACCGGAUAAUAUAUUGAACCGCAUGGUUCAAUAGUGAAAGACGGUUUUGCUGUCACUUAUAGAUGGAUACGCGCCGCAUUAGCUAGUUGGUAAGGUAACGGCUUACCAAGGCAAGGAUGCGUAGCCGACCUGAAGGGGUGGUCGGACACCCUGGAAGUGAGACACGUUCCAGACUCCUACGGUAGGCCGCAGUAGGGAAUCUUCCGCAAGGGGCGAAAGCCUGACGGAGCACCGCCGCGUGAGGGAUGAAGGUCUUCGGAUCGUAAAACUCUGUUAUUAGUGAAGAACAAAUGUGUAAGUAACUGUGCACGUAUUGACGGUACCUAAUCAGAAAGCCCCGGCUAACUACGUG